rnacentral:rRNA from 1 species
GAGGGGCAGCAUGGUCUUAGCUUGCUAAGGCCGAUGGCGACCGGCGCACGGGUGAGUAACACGUAUCCAACCUGCCGUCUACUCUUGGACAGCCUUCUGAAAGGAAGAUUAAUACAAGAUGGCAUCAUGAGUCCGCAUGUUCACAUGAUUAAAGGUAUUCCGGUAGACGAUGGGGAUGCGUUCCAUUAGAUAGUAGGCGGGGUAACGGCCCACCUAGUCUUCGAUGGAUAGGGGUUCUGAGAGGAAGGUCCCCCACAUUGGAACUGAGACACGGUCCAAACUCCUACGGGAGGCAGCAGUGAGGAAUAUUGGUCAAUGGGCGAGAGCCUGAACCAGCCAAGUAGCGUGAAGGAUGACUGCCCUAUGGGUUGUAAACUUCUUUUAUAAAGGAAUAAAGUCGGGUAUGCAUACCCGUUUGCAUGUACUUUAUGAAUAAGGAUCGGCUAACUCCGUGCCAGCAGCCGCGGUAAUACGGAGGAUCCGAGCGUUAUCCGGAUUUAUUGGGUUUAAAGGGAGCGUAGAUGGAUGUUUAAGUCAGUUGUGAAAGUUUGCGGCUCAACCGUAAAAUUGCAGUUGAUACUGGAUAUCUUGAGUGCAGUUGAGGCAGGCGGAAUUCGUGGUGUAGCGGUGAAAUGCUUAGAUAUCACGAAGAA